rnacentral:sRNA from 1 species
GCUGAAGCGGGGUAAUUCCUCUCCUGCAAUUACUUUUGGAUGGAAGUAUGCCCCUUUCUCAAUAGAAGAUGGUAAUCUUGGAGAAUGACCAUGGAGAAGGGGAUGAGUUCUGGAGAAGGGCUGCCUUCCAGAUCAUCUCAGGUUUCGGCUGGUAAAAUAACAGCCAAAGAGUUGGAAACAAAGCAGUCCUAUAAAGAGAAACGAGGAGGCUUUGUGUUGGUGCAUGCAGGUGCAGGUUAUCAUUCUGAAUCCAAAGCCAAGGAGUAUAAACAUGUAUGCAAACGAGCUUGUCAGAAGGCAAUUGAAAAGCUGCAGGCCGGUGCUCUUGCAACUGACGCAGUCACUGCAGCACUGGUGGAACUUGAGGUGUACACACACAGUUACACUUCAUGGAGUUGCAUCCAGCCAAGUAUCCAUGUUCUUCUUGUGAAGAGGCAGAGAAAAUCACCUCUCCCAAGAAUUUCCACCUUCUGAACAAGGGAAAUGUAUCCUGAAGAGCUGUACGCAGAUGGGAGGCAACUUGUUUGCUUGUUCUGCUGCUAGAGCAUUGAUUUAAUUAGAAGACAGGCUGUGGGUGGCCAUGUGCAGACAAAGAAGCACCAGACAGAGCCCAUUUAGCCUGGGACAGUAAAAGAUUCUCCUUUUACAAAUGCAGGAAUGGGAUCUAAUCUAAAUCUGUUAGGUGAAAUUGAGUGUGAUGCCAGCAUAAUGGAUGGAAAAUCCUUAAAUUUUGGAGCAGUUGGAGCACUGAGUG